GCAUUGGUGGUUCAGUGGUAGAAUUCUCGCCUGCCACGCUGGAUGCCCGGGUUCGAUUCGCGGCCAAUGCA
rnacentral:tRNA from 1 species